rnacentral:rRNA from 1 species
GAUGAACGCUGGCGGCGUGCCUAAUACAUGCAAGUCGAGCGAACAGAUGAGGAGCUUGCUCCUCUGACGUUAGCGGCGGACGGGUGAGUAACACGUGGAUAACCUACCUAUAAGACUGGGAUAACUUCGGGAAACCGGAGCUAAUACCGGAUAAUAUAUUGAACCGCAUGGUUCAAUAGUGAAAGACGGUUUUGCUGUCACUUAUAGAUGGAUCCGCGCCGCAUUAGCUAGUUGGUAAGGUAACGGCUUACCAAGGCAACGAUGCGUAGCCGACCUGAGAGGGUGAUCGGCCACACUGGAACUGAAACACGGUCCAGACUCCUACGGGAGGCAGCAGUAGGGAAUCUUCCGCAAUGGGCGAAAGCUUGACGGAGCAACGCCGCGUGAGUGAUGAAGGUCUUCGGAUCGUAAAACUCUGUUAUUAGGGAAGAACAAAUGUGUAAGUAACUAUGCACGUCUUGACGGUACCUAAUCAGAAAGCCACGGCUAACUACGUG